AAUGAAAGAAACCCUAGUCUUCGUUCUCCUCUUCUCCAUUGCUGCGUUGCAGAGGCUGCAACAUCUCGAGCUCUCUGUAUCGAAGUCUUCAGGCGAGCUUUUGUCGGCAUUCCACCGAUUUGGGUAUUGAUUGAUGUUCUGCACUUGCGAUUUGGGUAUUGAUUGAUUCUUGUCUAGUGGUUACAGGAGACUGGAAAGAAAAAGGAAAAAAAAAGAGAAAAAAUUGGAUUUACAGCUUUUAGUUCGAUUUUUACCUUUACAGGAGAAAACAGAAUGUAUCUUUCUGGGGUUCAUUGUAUUUCCUCAUUGGAGCAAAUGUCUUUCGUUCAAGAUUCACUCUUUUGUACUUUGGGUUCCAAUUCUUUGUGACGUUGAUAUUUAUUCGAUCCACGCCACAUUAUAAGAUGAUUGGGGCGUCAUUGGAUUGAUUGGUAUUUGUUCUCUCUUUCAUGUAAGGUUCAUGUUGUCUGUUGUUCUUA